rnacentral:rRNA from 1 species
GAUGAACGCUGGCGGCGUGCCUAAUACAUGCAAGUCGAGCGAACGGACGAGAAGCUUGCUUCUCUGAUGUUAGCGGCGGACGGGUGAGUAACACGUGGAUAACCUACCUAUAAGACUGGGAUAACUUCGGGAAACCGGAGCUAAUACCGGAUAAUAUUUUGAACCGCAUGGUUCAAAAGUGAAAGACGGUCUUGCUGUCACUUAUAGAUGGAUCCGCGCUGCAUUAGCUAGUUGGUAAGGUAACGGCUUACCAAGGCAACGAUGCAUAGCCGACCUGAGAGGGUGAUCGGCCACACUGAAACUGAAACACGGUCCAGACUCCAACGGGGGGCAGCGGUAGGAAAUCUUCCGCAAUGGGCGAAGGCCUAACGGGGCAACGCCGCGUGGGUAAUGAAGGUCUUCGAAUCGUAAACCUCUGUUAUUGGGGAAGAACAUAUUUGUAAGUAACUGUGCACAUCUUGACGGUACCUAAUCAGAAAGCCACGGCUAACUACGU